rnacentral:rRNA from 1 species
GUGGGGAAUUUUGGACAAUGGGCGCAAGCCUGAUCCAGCAAUGCCGCGUGCAGGAAGAAGGCCUUCGGGUUGUAAACUGCUUUUGUACGGAACGAAACGGUCCUGGCUAAUAUCCGGGGCUAAUGACGGUACCGUAAGAAUAAGCACCGGCUAACUACGUGCCAGCAGCCGCGGUAAUACGUAGGGUGCGAGCGUUAAUCGGAAUUACUGGGCGUAAAGCGUGCGCAGGCGGUGCUGUAAGACAGGCGUGAAAUCCCCGGGCUCAACCUGGGAAUUGCGCUUGUGACUGCAGUGCUGGAGUGCGGCAGAGGGUGAUGGAAUUCCGCGUGUAGCAGUGAAAUGCGUAGAUAUGCGGAGGAACACCGAUGGCGAAGGCAAUCCCCUGGGCCUGCACUGACGCUCAUGCACGAAAGCGUGGGGAGCAAACAGGAUUAGAUACCCGUGUAGUCC